ACCCAGCAGCCACUUCCUUACUCUAAGGCGCGGUGCAGGGCAGGUGGUCCGGCCAAAUGGACGGUUGAGGCGGGAGCGGAGCAGCUUCGGAGACUUUCUUUAAGGCGGCAAGGCUGCGGAGGGCGCGGGGUGGAGGGUAGGAGUACGCGGAAAGGAAUAAAGAACUCACCUGGCAGCUGAGGAACACUGCCGUUCCUAGGGCUCCUGAACUGGAUCGCGCAGGCGUGGAGCGUCCGGGCGGGGGCGGGCCCUUAAAGAGGCCGCUGCGGAGAAUCCAGGAGCCCGCCGAGAAUCUGGGAUACCUGGGGGCGAGGGGCGGGUGCGGGUUGUGCGAUUGCAUAGAUCCCCUCAUAUCCCUGCCCCGGGUGGUGACGGGUAUCGAUCCCUAGAGGACCAGGUUCUGAGUAGAGCCGCUCUUGGAACCCAGUCUGCGGACCGGCCCAGGGACCCCCAGUUUAAGCGCGUCUCCCCGCCUCCAGCCCACGGCGCUAUGGCUCACGUCGGCUCUCGCAAGCGCUCGAGGAGUCGCAGCCGGUCCCGGGGCAGAGGGUCGGAAAAGAAAAGGAAGAAGAGCAGUAAGGACGCUCCCAGGAGCUGCUCGGCUUCUAGAUCCCAAAGCCGCAAAGCCAGCACUACCUCCUCUGGGGCGGAGGUUCUUCUAGCUCCUCUUCCUCCUCGUCCUCCUCCUCUUCCUCCAGCGAUGGCCGGAAGAAGCGGGGGAAGCACAAGGACAAGAAGAGGAAGAAGAAGAAGAAAAGGAAGAAGAAGCUGAAGAAGAGAAGCAAGGAAAAGGCCAAGGUGCAGCAAGCUGAGGCUCUGCCUGGACCUUCGCUGGACCAGUGGCACAGAGCAGCCGAGGAGGAAGAGGAUGGCCCAGUCCUGACAGAUGAGCAGAAGUCCCGCAUCCAGGCCAUGAAGCCCAUGACCAAGGAAGAGUGGGAUGCCCGGCAGAGCGUCAUCCGCAAGGUGGUUGACCCAGAGACAGGACGCACCAGGCUCAUUAAGGGAGAUGGUGAGGUCUUAGAGGAGAUCGUAACCAAGGAACGACACCGAGAGAUCAACAAGCCACCCGAGGGGAUGGUCUGGCCUUCCAGAUGCGGGCAGGGCUGCUGCCCUGAGGGCCCCCCCGCCAGAGUCUUCGGACAGUGUUGGUAGCAUGGCCUGGAGGCUGGCCUCAGGGAGGGCAGCAGGAGCUCAAUGGGUGCUAUUUGCCUUUCACCUGCAGACCGACCUCUGGCCCAGCCUCCUCUCAGAUGCAGGGGGUGGAGGGCAGAGUCACUGGCCUAGUCAGCUCUCCCAUCUUCCCAAAGAGCGCAACUUCCCAGAUAUUAAACGUUCCCUGGUUGGAGAA